rnacentral:lncRNA from 1 species
GGUGCUUUGGCGCCCACAUCUCCGCGUAUCCCUUCCCGCUACCCUCUGGCUUGUAAUAACAAUGGAGUUAUCCGUGGUCUGGGAAGUGGUGUUGGGGCCGAGUGGGCAGGCGAGGGGCGAGAGGGGUUGGGACGCUAAGGGUUAAGUCCCAACCCGGGCAAUGGAAAGGACUCGCGAGUUCGCCGCCUGGGUGGAAUUCUAGCCUCCCAGGGCGGCCGCCAGCCCCCGCCGCCUGAGCUGCACUUGCUCCAUUGCCUGGCCCACGAGCAACAGGCUCAGAGGCCGGGCUUUCCCCGGAGCUAGUGCUCCUUCUGCCACUGGUGCCUGGGUGCGUCUGGACAGCCUGCGAGUGGGCCGGUGCGUCCCGCCAGUGCGUGCUCUGCAGCCUGACAAAGCUCGGCAAUUGCAAUAAAUUCAACUAUUGGGCCAGGUCCAGGACCUCCUGUAUAAAGCAGGCAUCCUCCAACUUGAUGAAUGUGAGUCUGGAACAAAAUUAAAAGGGUCUGUGAAACCUGAAAGGCCUGGGAGCCUCUGAUCUGUUGGAUAGCUUUACUUGAAUAAACCGUGAGUGCCUCAAACUUGACACUAUAAAAAGUAUAUUUAUUAUCUCCUUCUUUCCCUUCGCACACAACCCAACUCCUUUUUCUUCUAUACUAUAAAGGAUGUUAUAACUCUCCAUCCCAGUUGAUUGUAGGAAGUGAGUUAUCCUCAAACCUCCCGGGUGCUAUUACCCUUACGUUUAAGUGGUUGCUAAGUCCUCCAGUCUGUCUCUUGAUAUUUCUUGAUUCAUACUCAU